AUUGAACGCUGGCGGCAGGCUUAACACAUGCAAGUCGAGCGGUAACAGAGAGAAGCUUACUUCUCUGCUGACGAGCGGCGGACGGGUGAGUAAUGCCUAGGAAUCUGCCUAGUAGUGGGGGAUAACUUGCCGAAAGGUAAGCUAAUACCGCAUACGUCCUAUGGGAGGAAGGAGGGGACCUUCGGGCCUUUCGCUAUUAGAUGAGCCUAGGUCGGAUUAGUUAGUUGGUGAGGUAAUGGCUUACCAAGACCCCGAUCCGUAACUGGUCUGAGAGGAUGAUCAGUCACACUGGAACUGAGACACGGUCCAGACUCCUACGGGAGGCAGCAGUGGGGAAUAUUGGACAAUGGGGGGAACCCUGAUCCAGCCAUGCCGCGUGUGUGAAGAAGGUCUUAGGAUUGUAAAGCACUUUAAGUUGGGAGGAAGAGCAGUUAACUAAUAUUUGACUGUUUUGACGUUACCGACAGAAUAAGCACCGGCUAACUUCGUGCCAGCCGCCGCCGUAA
rnacentral:rRNA from 1 species